rnacentral:rRNA from 1 species
ACACGUAAGGGGCGAGCGUUGUCCGGAAUCACUGGGCGUAAAGCGCGCGUAGGUGGUUUGGUAAGUCGGAUGUGAAAGCCUCGAGCUUAACUCGGGAACUGCGUUCGAAACUACCUCACUUGAGAAUGGGAGAGGGAGAUAGAAUUCCCGGUGUAGGGGUGAAAUCCUUAGAUAUCGGGAAGAACACCGAUGGCGAAGGCAAUCUCCUGGCCCAUUUCUGACACUGAGGUGCGAAAGCGUGGGGAGCGAACGGGAUUAGAUACCCCGGUAGUCCACGCCGUAAACGAUGGGCACUAGGUUUGGGAGGCAUCGACCCCUUCUGAGCCGCAGUUAACGCAUUAAGUGCCCCGCCUGGGGAGUACGACCGCAAGGUUAAA